ACAUGUCCGCAUGAUUAGAGGUAUUUUCCGGUAGACGAUGGGGAUGCGUUCCAUUAGAUAGUAGGCGGGGUAACGGCCCACCUAGUCAACGAUGGAUAGGGGUUCUGAGAGGAAGGUCCCCCACAUUGGAACUGAGACACGGUCCAAACUCCUACGGGAGGCAGCAGUGAGGAAUAUUGGUCAAUGGGCGAUGGCCUGAACCAGCCAAGUAGCGUGAAGGAUGACUGCCCUAUGGGUUGUAAACUUCUUUUAUAAAGGAAUAAAGUCGGGUAUGCAUACCCGUUUGCAUGUACUUUAUGAAUAAGGAUCGGCUAACUCCGUGCCAGCAGCCGCGGUAAUACGGAGGAUCCGAGCGUUAUCCGGAUUUAUUGGGUUUAAAGGGAGCGUAGAUGGAUGUUUAAGUCAGUUGUGAAAGUUUGCGGCUCAACCGUAAAAUUGCAGUUGAUACUGGAUGUCUUGAGUGCAGUUGAGGCAGGCGGAAUUCGUGGUGUAGCGGUGAAAUGCUUAGAUAUCACGAAGAACUCCGAUUGCGAAGGCAGCCUGCUAAGCUGCAACUGACAUUGAGGCUCGAAAGUGUGGGUAUCAAACAGGAUUAGAUACCCUGGUAGUCCACACGGUAAACGAUGAAUACUCGCUGUUUGCGAUAUACGGCAAGCGGCC
rnacentral:rRNA from 1 species